rnacentral:rRNA from 1 species
AAACUACAAUCAUUAGCGGAGGAAAAGAAACCAACAGGGAUUGCCUUAGUAACGGCGAGUGAAGCGGCAACAGCUCAAAUUUGAAAUCUGGCCCUUGGGUCCGAAUUGUAAUUUGUAGAGGAUGAUUUUGGUGCGGUAUCUUCCGAGUUCCUUGGAACAGGACGCCUUAGAGGGUGAGAGCCCCGUACGGUUGAAUGCCUAGCCUCUGUAAAUCUCCUUCGACGAGUCGAGUAGUUUGGGAAUGCUGCUCUAAAUGGGAGGUAAAUUUCUUCUAAAGCUAAAUAUUGGCCAGAGACCGAUAGCGCACAAGUAGAGUGAUCGAAAGAUGAAAAGCACUUUGAAAAGAGGGUUAAAUAGCACGUGAAAUUGUUGAAAGGGAAGGAUUUGUGACCAGACUUUUUCUGGGCGGAUCAUCCGGGGUUCUCUCCGGUGCACUUCGCCCAGUAAAGGCCAGCAUCGGUUUUCGGCGUGGGAUAAAAGCAGUAGGAAUGUGGCUCUCUACGGGGAGUGUUAUAGCCUAUUGUAUAAUACCGCGCUGGGGACCGAGGUUCGCGCUUCUGCAAGGAUGCUGGCGUAAUGGUUAUCAAUCACCCGUCUUGAAACACGGACCAAGGAGUCGAACAUUUGUGCGAGUGUUUGGGUGUUAAACCCUCACGCGUAAUGAAAGUGAACGGAGGUGAGAGCCCUUACGGGUGCAUCAUCGACCGAUCCUGAAGUUUUCGGAUGGAUUUGAGUAAGAGCAUAACUGUUCGGACCCGAAAGAUGGUGAACUAUGCGUGGAUAGGGUGAAGCCAGAGGAAACUCUGGUGGAGGCUCGCAGCGGUUCUGACGUGCAAAUCGAUCGUCAAAUCUGCGCAUGGGGGCGAAAGACUAAUCGAAGCAUCUGUAGCUGGUACCAAAAUUUCUCC